CGGGAUCACUAUCAUUGUGA
rnacentral:miRNA from 1 species